rfam:Marine bacterium AO1-C Bin2_contig__2_len_1495235_cov_100.329_ID_3, whole genome shotgun sequence.
GGGGCCGACUGGAAUUGACAGCUUGUGCAUAGUAAGCGUAAGCACGUCGGGAGGUGAGUGCUACUCCUGAAAUUAAUGCUCUCACAACUAUAAUUGGCGAAAGAAAUUACGCCCUAGCUGCCUAAUUUAGAAUUAGAUAGCUUAGUGUCUCGCAAACCUUACCUUUCUGCAAGGUUUGCACCCGAGGCAUCACAAAGCAGAAAUAGUCAGCAUAGAGGCAUGAUGUGUUGGCGAAACUAAGUGUCUAAGGUAGAGUAUUGGUUCGUAGCGCACCUAUCUCUGCUCGAAAAUCCAAGCGUGAUCUAAACGUGUAGAAAGCUCUUGCUUUCCUUGUCUGGACGAGGGUUCAAAUCCCUCCGGCUCCACUA